rnacentral:rRNA from 1 species
CAAUAGCGUAUAUUAAAGUUGUUGCAGUUAAAAAGCUCGUAGUUGGAUUUGUGGCGUACGGUGUGUUCCGGGCACUUGUUGUCUGAGUAACCUGCUGUUGCCAUCCUUGGGUGGAACCUGUGUGGCAUUAGGUUGUCGUGCAGGGGAUGCCCAUCAUUUACUGUGAAAAAAUUAGAGUGUUCAAAGCAGGCUUAUGCCGUUGAAUAUAUUAGCAUGGAAUAAUGAGAUAGGACUUUUUUGCUAUUUUGUUGGUUUGCGCAAAGAGGUAAUGAUUAAUAGGGACAGUUGGGGGGUAUUCGUAUUCCAUUGUCAGAGGUGAAAUUCUUGGAUUUUUGGAAGACGAACUACUGCGAAAGCAUUUACCAAGGAUGUUUUCGUUAA